UACGGGGGGAGCAAGCGUUGUUCGGAUUUACUGGGCGUAAAGGGCGCGUAGGCGGCCACCGCAAGUCGACUGUGAAAUCUCCGGGCUUAACCCGGAAAGGUCAGCCGAUACUGCGGGGCUAGAGUGCGGAAGGGGCAACUGGAAUUCUCGGUGUAGCGGUGAAAUGCGUAGAUAUCGAGAGGAACACCUGCGGCGAAGGCGGGUUGCUGGGCUGACACUGACGCUGAAGCGCGAAAGCUAGGGGAGCGAACGGG
rnacentral:rRNA from 1 species